rnacentral:rRNA from 1 species
UGUUUCGGCAAGGGGGUCAUCCCGACUUACCAACCCGAUGCAAACUGCGAAUACCGGAGAAUGUUAUCACGGGAGACACACGGCGGGUGCUAACGUCCGUCGUGAAGAGGGAAACAACCCAGACCGCCAGCUAAGGUCCCAAAGUCAUGGUUAAGUGGGAAACGAUGUGGGAAGGCCCAGACAGCCAGGAUGUUGGCUUAGAAGCAGCCAUCAUUUAAAGAAAGCGUAAUAGCUCACUGGUCGAGUCGGCCUGCGCGGAAGAUGUAACGGGGCUAAACCAUGCACCGAAGCUGCGGCAGCGACGCUUAUGCGUUGUUGGGUAGGGGAGCGUUCUGUAAGCCUGUGAAGGUGUGCUGUGAGGCAUGCUGGAGGUAUCAGAAGUGCGAAUGCUGACAUAAGUAACGAUAAAGCGGGUGAAAAGCCCGCUCGCCGGAAGACCAAGGGUUCCUGUCCAACGUUAAUCGGGGCAGGGUGAGUCGACCCCUAAGGCGAGGCCGAAAGGCGUAGUCGAUGGGAAACAGGUUAAUAUUCCUGUACUUGGUGUUACUGCGAAGGGGGGACGGAGAAGGCUAUGUUGGCCGGGCGACGGUUGUCCCGGUUUAAGCGUGUAGGCUGGUUUUCCAGGCAAAUCCGGAAAAUCAAGGCUGAGGCGUGAUGACGAGGCACUACGGUGCUGAAGCAACAAAUGCCCUGCUUCCAGGAAAAGCCUCUAAGCAUCAGGUAACAUCAAAUCGUACCCCAAACCGACACAGGUGGUCAGGUAGAGAAUACCAAGGCGCUUGAGAGAACUCGGGUGAAGGAACUAGGCAAAAUGGUGCCGUAACUUCGGGAGAAGGCACGCUGAUAUGUAGGUGAAGUCCCUCGCGGAUGGAGCUGAAAUCAGUCGAAGAUACCAGCUGGCUGCAACUGUUUAUUAAAAACACAGCACUGUGCAAACACGAAAGUGGACGUAUACGGUGUGACGCCUGCCCGGUGCCGGAAGGUUAAUUGAUGGGGUCAGCGCAAGCGAAGCUCUUGAUCGAAGCCCCGGUAAACGGCGGCCGUAACUAUAACGGUCCUAAGGUAGCGAAAUUCCUUGUCGGGUAAGUUCCGACCUGCACGAAUGGCGUAAUGAUGGCCAGGCUGUCUCCACCCGAGACUCAGUGAAAUUGAACUCGCUGUGAAGAUGCAGUGUACCCGCGGCAAGACGGAAAGACCCCGUGAACCUUUACUAUAGCUUGACACUGAACAUUGAGCCUUGAUGUGUAGGAUAGGUGGGAGGCUUAGAAGUGUGGACGCCAGUCUGCAUGGAGCCGACCUUGAAAUACCACCCUUUAAUGUUUGAUGUUCUAACGUUGACCCGUAAUCCGGGUUGCGGACAGUGUCUGGUGGGUAGUUUGACUGGGGCGGUCUCCUCCUAAAGAGUAACGGAGGAGCACGAAGGUUGGCUAAUCCUGGUCGGACAUCAGGAGGUUAGUGCAAUGGCAUAAGCCAGCUUGACUGCGAGCGUGACGGCGCGAGCAGGUGCGAAAGCAGGUCAUAGUGAUCCGGUGGUUCUGAAUGGAAGGGCCAUCGCUCAACGGAUAAAAGGUACUCCGGGGAUAACAGGCUGAUACCGCCCAAGAGUUCAUAUCGACGGCGGUGUUUGGCACCUCGAUGUCGGCUCAUCACAUCCUGGGGCUGAAGUAGGUCCCAAGGGUAUGGCUGUUCGCCAUUUAAAGUGGUACGCGAGCUGGGUUUAGAACGUCGUGAGACAGUUCGGUCCCUAUCUGCCGUGGGCGCUGGAGAACUGAGGGGGGCUGCUCCUAGUACGAGAGGACCGGAGUGGACGCAUCACUGGUGUUCGGGUUGUCAUGCCAAUGGCACUGCCCGGUAGCUAAAUGCGGAAGAGAUAAGUGCUGAAAGCAUCUAAGCACGAAACUUGCCCCGAGAUGAGUUCUCCCUGACCCUUUAAGGGUCCUGAAGGAACGUUGAAGACGACGACGUUGAUAGGCCGGGUGUGUAAGCGCAGCGAUGCGUUGAGCUAACCGGUACUAAUGAACCGUGAGGCUUAACCUUACAACGCCGAAGGUGUUU